UGGGCAGGAGAGAGCUGAGGAAGAGACACGGCUCGGCUCGGCAUGGCCAGCAGCCAGGCAGGCUCCGGCCCCCCAGGCAGGGGUGGGGGAGGCCGGGAUUUCCCAGGGUGGUCCUGAGAGAUGCUGGGGUCGGUGUCCGUGUCCCCGGGGCUGCACAUCAGGGACUUUGAGGCAGGAAAUAGAGCUGCUGGAUUGGGACAGGCUCCUCAGUGCUGGCAGCAUCUCUGCACGGGCAGGGGAUGGGCAUGGUUGGAAAAAAUCUCUCCCUCCUGCCUCCAGUUGUGUCCUGCAGCAUCUUGCUGUAGGCAGGAUGGGGGCCAGUUUGGGCAAACCUAACUGUCCCCUCCUAGCUGUCCCCUCUGCCAGCUCCUGUAAGUUGAGAGCCAGUCCUGGGGACACCAAAAGGAACUUGUGCUUUUGGGACCAGUGGAUGGCCCCAAGGACCAGGCUGGCAGCAGUGGGCUGACCUUACAGCAGAGGAAAUGAUCCAGUCGUGUUCCCCACACUGGGAAAGCCGGGAGAGAUUGCAUGUCCCCCUCCGCUGCUAUCCGUCCUCCCUCCUGUGAAUUCCCUGUCAUCUUGUCUUUUGGCAGAGCUGGAAAACUGGGAGACCACCGUAAAUAAAUCCUGUGUCUUUAA